ACGGACCCGGAAGCGCCUCCCCCAGCCGGGUCCGCGGGCGCCGCCAUAUUGGCGGAUCCUGGGCGCCGCCAUAUCGCGCCCGCUGCGCUCGGUUCUGCCCGGUGCCGCCGCCCCAGCCCCAGCCAUGUCCGAGAGCUACGAUUUCCUCUUCAAGUUCCUUGUGAUAGGAAGUGCCGGUACUGGGAAGUCCUGUCUCCUGCAUCAGUUUAUAGAGAAUAAAUUCAAGCAGGAUUCCAACCACACGAUCGGAGUGGAGUUUGGGUCGAAGGUGGCUAAUGUCGGUGGGAAAACGGUGAAACUGCAGAUCUGGGAUACGGCAGGACAAGAACGGUUUAGGUCGGUGACUCGGAGCUACUACCGCGGUGCUGCCGGGGCCCUGCUGGUGUACGACAUCACCAGCCGGGAGACCUACAAUGCGCUGACCAACUGGCUGACGGACGCCCGGACCCUCGCCAGCCCCAGCAUCGUCAUCAUCCUCUGCGGGAACAAGAAGGACCUGGAUGCAGACCGGGAAGUGACCUUCCUGGAAGCCUCCCGCUUCGCACAAGAGAACGGUACCAAGCUGGGGCCCGGGGAGGGGCUGCUCUGGGGGCUCAUUAGUUUUGACUAUCACAUGGUCCUGCCUUGCCCUUUCCAUGUGGGGUGGGGGGGGUGUUCCUUGGGGAUGUUCCUGUCCCCUACCUGCUUUGCCAUGGCACCAGGGCUUAGUGGUGUGAAAGCGUCCCGCAGCCAGGCCGGGUCCAGCAGGGUAAGGAACUAUGGAAGUGGGGUGGGGGCAGGCAGGGCUGGCCCCAGGGCAGUGCUAGGCGCAGGGCGCUCUCCCCUGGCAGUCUGGGCUGGCCCCAGAGUGGGUGCUGGUGGGUGCGGUGUUGCUACCAGGAGCUGUCUUUCCCAUGAGUGGUAACACUGCAGUCCUUGCCAUGCCAGCAUUAAAAUCCCGUGGCCACCAAAAGGGGUCAUCAGCCCUGGGGUACUGCCCCAAUCCCGUCCUGCCUCCUUAAACAUCCCUUGGAGGCAGGGCGCUCCUUUGUUGCUGAGCGCUGCUGGGCGAGGGUGGCAGCUGUGUUUGGACCCCCGGGGCGGGCGACUGAGCUCCGCAGAGCCCGGGGGCCAAGGGCGCUAGAUGAAAAGCGCGGAAGAGCUGCUGGAAUGGCUCCCCGGCACUGGUGCUGUUUGGCCAGGAGGGGGCGCUUGGACUCCGUGGUUAGAGCACGGUGUCAGACUGGAAGCACCGGAUUUCGUGUGUUCAGUGGUGCCGCUGGAUCGGGCCCCACUCCACCCAGGCUGCCCAGGGUAUGAGAGGUGAGGACGGACCGUGCCCUGCAGGUCCCGCUGCAGAGCGAACUGCUCUCUUCUGUGUGUUGGCGGGGCUGGAUCCCGAGCGAGGAGUUGCGUUGUCUCGGGAUACCCAGCUGGGGAUGUCCCGUGCUUAGCGUGUGGGCCGAGGCGAAUCGUGCUGUGAGCCGCACCCCGGUUACCUUCCUGCCGUUUCUCUCUUCGCCUCGGCAGAACUCAUGUUCCUGGAGACCAGCGCGCUGACCGGGGAGAACGUAGAAGAAGCUUUCUUAAAAUGUGCCAGGACCAUACUAAACAAAAUUGAAUCAGGUACGAAGGCUGGAGAUGGCAGGGGGCACCGAGGGGCGUGACACAGCCCAACGCUUCUCCGUUGAGCAUUUCCAGCCUGAACAUCUCGACCAGGAAAGGAAACCAGUUUCCAGUAAUAAUUAAUAAUGAGUGAUAAAGACAGAUUAUGGUCCGGGCUCUGGCUGAGACCAGGGGCCCCCAGUCAUGUCCUGACGUAGGGCAGGAGAUGUGGGUAUGGCCCAGUUCUCCAGGGGUGCUCAGUUGCCCCAUGCCCUCUGCAGUCCGGGGCAGGGUUUGUCUGGCGCCCCCAGGGUGUUUGCUCUCCCAGCUCGCCAUGGAUCGAUCUCCUUGAUGGUAGUUAGUCUGGAGUCUGUUGUUAAGUGACUAUACCCAGGAGUUGCCCGGCUGGGCGUACCCACGGCUGGCCUAGAAGGGUCUGGGUAAAGAUUCCUCCCUCCCAGCCCCACGCAAUCUGGGGGAGCGAGGGGAGGUGGCGGAGGGGGAGGGGACGGUUGUGUCCCCCCGCGCUGAGUGCUGCUGUCUGGCUAGGCGAGCUGGACCCCGAGAGGAUGGGCUCAGGAAUCCAGUACGGAGAUGCCUCCUUGCGCCACCUGAGACAGCCCCGCGGGGCCCAAACCCAGAACAAGCAGCCGUGCAGCUGCUAAGGGCGAAGGCUCCCAGGAAUCUGUCUGCAACGCUGGACCGUGGCCAGUCGGACCCUCCGGGGCUCAAGCACUUUCUCUUCUCUUCCCAGGACCACGUGCCUCGCUCGCUGAGCCCCCUGCUUCCCGAGCCGCGCGCCCUCUCCGAGCAGUGCGCUGCCCGCCCCUUCGGCCCACGAGCCCUGGGACUCUGGCAAACUGCCCGGUUGACUGUAUGCAGCCACGGUGUCUUCUGUCGACGCUCCCUGCCCUCUGCGCGUCCCCCCAAACCUGAGGCUGUCACGGGCCCGUCUCAGUAACGACUUUCAAAGGAUGAAGUAACGGGGCCCCGGCCAGCCUCCCGUAGCUAAUUGCUGCUCUGGGUAGGAGAGUCCCUCUUCGUUAACACCAGGACGAGGGGGGAGCGGGUUCUCCUUGUGAAACGGUUCAUUUGGGGUUGACUCCUGCUACCCCGUUGCUGGGAGCGGGGCUGGGGCUUUGCCCUGGGUAGGUGGGGGGUGUCUCUUAGCCUGGGGGACAGCGUGGAGAUGGGGUUUGCCUGUCACAAACCAAAGGGCACUUGUCACGCAGGGGAGCUCGUGAGCGGUUCCCCGCAGCGAGCGGCUUGCCGGGCGGUCGAGGCUGGGCUUGGAUUUCUGUUACACUGGUUUUGCUUUGGAAGCUGGGGUCUGUCUCCGCCAUGUCCCGGGCUCCACCUUGUCUCGCUGCUUUUCCGCCAGCCAGCCGUCGCGCUCCCGAGCACUGUGCUUGUGAACUCUCCCCUGCCCCGGGCGCCGUGACGUUCUGGUGUAACAGACAGUCGGGGCUGGGUGGACGGCGCGUCCCCUUUGAAAUACUGUAAGCUUAAUACUGGACCAUUGAAGUGUCCGUGGCAGGAGCCGGCUCUGCCACUGGGUUUAGUCCCAGCUCCUGCGGGAGGUUCCCUCGGGCUCCGCGGCUCGUGCGCUGAAUCCCUUGGGUGGGCGUGGGCAUCUGGGGUUUAAAACCCCACGGCAGCCGUAAUGGCAGAUCCGCAUCUCAAACCAAGCACGUACCGGGCAGGAAAGUCCAGGCUGGCUGAGCCACAACCAGAGCCGGGAUAACGUGCCAACAGCAGCUUCCCCUCGAGGGGGCCGGUUCGAAUCCGGCCCCGCUGGGUCCAGACCAAGGGUCAAAUUUUCAAGAGUGCCGAAGCAACAAGCUCCAAAGGCCUGUUGAAAGCCAAUAGGAUCUGGGCUCCUAAAUCACCUAGUGUUCUGAAUGUUAACCGCCUCUGGUUCUUGUCUGGCCCCUUUGGGGCUCCUGUCCACUGCUGGCACUAAUGGCCCUCAGCGGGCUGAGAGGGGCUCGCCCUGGACAGAAUCUGUCUAGCUGGAGCAAUUGGCAGCCAUCGCUGACUCCGGCCCACGGCUGCAGGGUUGGAUUUGAAGGUGGUGACAGUGGCAUAAAGACUCCUUGAGCAGCCAGAGCCGUCUGCUUUGUCCUCGUGCCGCCCCCGGCCUGCACCCCUUCCCCAUCCCUCUCGCCUCCUCUGGCAACAGUGAUCCCUGGCCCCCGCGUACAGCCGCUGGGCUGCGGCCCCGGUCUCUCUCUCCUAAUCUUGGCCCAAAACAUUGCAUGACCCACGCGGCCCUCCUGCUGUAACUGCCAAACCAGUGAUACUCAAUAGGCGGCCCGCAGGCCAAAUGUGGCCCCCCAGCUCACCUUACAAAAAGUGUGUAAUUAAAUUCACAAUCCGUGAUGCGCUGCCUUAGCAAGUGACUUACCGGCCUGACGUUCUGGCGAGAGUGUCCGCUAAACAGCGCACGGCCGCAGCCCGGUUUCUCGUUAGCGAUGGAAACGGAGCCACAAACGAAUGCGGCUGGGUGUAAAUGUCACCAGGUCGGCAGGGGAAACCGAGCUUUGAACCCCAACCGAACGGGGGGGUUUUCUCUUUAUUACGCCGGCUCGUCUAAAGCCCAAACCUGUGUGUUUAACACACCGAACUGCUGUAUCUGUCCGGAAGGUCGCCACAUUGAAUCAGGGUAAUGUGGACGUGGCCUGUCCUUCCGGCCGUGUUGUAAGACGUGAGAAAAUGGAAAAAUCUGCAGGCUUUGGAUUGCACUUCAAAUGUCCUCCUCGCCCCAUCAGCAACUGCAGGGAAAAGCAGCAGCUGCUUCUCUUCAGAGAACGUGGGAACUCGCACAAAAGAAAAGGCCUUUCCUGGCUGCCGAGCUUGGGCAGUGCACGCUGGACAUAGGGGGGAGCCUUGUGCUGGAGGUGAAAACACAGGUGGCCUUGUGAACCGUAUGAAGCGGGUUCCCCUGUCUGAGGCCACGGCAGUGCGAAGACGGGGGGUAAUUUGAGGGUUGUUUGUCAGCACUGCUUUCCGAUUUACAAAAUGCCAAACACCCGUCUCUGGCUGUGGAUGAACUGAGCGAUUGAAGUGACGCUGCCCGGCUAUCGCUGUUUGCUGGAAUUUACGAUGGGGAAAUUUUCAAGGAAGAAUUUUUGUGCUGAAACCUACCCCACAGGAGAGAGCAUUUUUGAAAAGGUAAAAGGCUUUUUUGGGAGGGAAAAAACCCAACUUUCUGCAGAGCUAAACCAAACUGUCUUGUACAGACAGAGGGCCCUCCGUGACAGAGAGAGAGACGGGCGUUGCCCCAUGUUUCACAGCGAUACGCCUUUCUUUAAAUACACUUCACUGCAUCGUUCACCAGACUGUCCUAUGCGGUGAGUUUUGUGGGGACUUGGAAAAACCAAGUUACAGCAGAACCUCAGAGUUACUAACUGACCAGUCAGCCGCACGCCUCAGGGGAACCGGAACUACGCAAUCAGGCAGCGCCCCCCCCUCCCCCCACGCAAAUACAGGACAGUGCUGGGUUAAAAGUAAACCCCUAAAACAAUCCAGGGAAGCAGCGUUUUUCUCCUGCACAGUGACUUUUCAAAGCUCUCUUAAGUCGAUGUCCAGCUGUAAAUUUUUGAAAGAACCGUAACUAUUUGUUCAGCGUCGGGGUUUGAAACGAGAGUCUACUGUACCGUGAUGAGCUCAGCGACCUCCAUACGCUCAGCUUCUGGCUUGCAGCAUUGUCUUUCCCAAGCUGUCUUACCAGUCCUUUCAGCCGAAUAUGGAGACCUUUUGCAGCCCGGCGGCAUUCGCUCGCGAAUAGAAGGCGCAUGGGAGAGAGGUUUUGUGCCCUUUAGGAAGAAAUAAUGGACUUUCUUUCCAACCACAAGCCCAAGCUUGUGAGGCCCUGGAAUUUACGAACGCUGUCCCAGGUAGCGUCUCUGUAUGAUAUGACUGGUCACUCGAAUUCCCUCAGCGGGCUGCCCCAAGGCCGUGCAAGCCAGGCCGGGGAGCUCUUUGAAGAAGCCUGUGCCUUUCUGAGCGACUUAAAAGGAUGUUUCACUUCCCCACAUUGUGUGUUGUUGCGACCGGUGACAGUCAGAUGAAGACGAGGCAAGAAUUCCUACAUCACCUGAGCGAGAAUUAAAAUCCCAGAGCAUUUGCUUUUAUUCACCAUCCAUUUGUCUGUGCCCGAGGGACCUCGCCCUUCUCAAGCAAAGAACAUUCUUGAGUCAGUUGACGAUUGUAAGGCUCCAGCGCUCAGAUGUCUUGGCAAAUUCAGAGCAGUGGGUCUUGGUGAUAGCAGAAGGAUGGCCAGACCGGGUCAGACCAAAGGUCCGUCUAGCCCAGUGUCCUGUCCUCCGGCAGCGGUAACUGCCGGAGAGUGCCCCAGAGGGAACGAACAGAACAGGGAAUCACCAAGUGAUCCAUUCCCUGUCUUCCAUUCCCAGCUUUCUGAGCUUAAUACGCUGACCAGGUUCGGGGUGGAUGGCUAGAUUCAGGCAAUCUUUUAACUAUGUUCGGACCAACAUCCCUCUGCCAACCUGGGUUUUCCACCAGGAACAUUGCGAAAAACCCAACAUCCCAAUUGCCUGCCGGGUGAGCAUCUUCACCAGGGCGUCCGCCUUGCCCUGACCGCUCACAAAGCUUGCCCAAGAUCACUGCUGUCCCCUCUCCUGUUCGAGAGUGACACACCUGGGGGCUAAUGUCCAUUUACAAACUUCGUCAGACAAUAGAAAUGCUCCUCCUUCCCUUGUCAACCAAGGCCUGUAUUUACAUUUUUCUUUCAUUUUAUGUGGUCAGCCAUGCGUGCCUACGGCCCGUCUCUGGUCCUGAAAUUCUCAGAUCAGCCCGUGGAUAGAGAGAGUUGGGUAUCACUGGUGAGGCCCCUCCAGUGUCCUGCGUGGGCUGGGGCUAGUGCUGUGCGUGGUGGGGGGGACGGGGAGCCCAGCACAUCCAUCUUGAGCCAGUCACCUUCACCCCCCUUCGUGUGUCUCCAGAGAGCCCUGGGGUAUCUCUGUCCCUUUGAAAGGCUCCUGUCUGAGCGGGGAGGGGAGCACAGAUCGGGCCGCUGUUCGGAGGGGUGGGGCGACCCCCGGCUGGGUGGCUGCGUGAGCCCCGGCCCAACCAGGCGAGGGGGCGGGCUGGGUUCGUCUGUUGUGUUCUUCCGCUUAAGCUGCUGUUAUUUAUUAGGUGGGGGAGGACAGGAGGCUGCUGCCUUUGUGGCUUGCCUCGCACUCGGCUCUUGCCUGGCCCGUCCCCGGGCACGGGCGGGAGGACGCAAGCGGGGCUCCGUCCGAUUCCUCCUGAAGCUGGGGCAGGGUGGGGAGAAAUGGUUGGAUCCAAACCGGUUUAUAAUUCACACCCUGUGAAAUUUCUUCUCUUUAAAAGAAAAAUCCCUCCGACUUCAGGCUGUGACAAUGUGACUCGUACAUAAAGUAUUAACGUUUUCCA